rnacentral:rRNA from 1 species
CCUACGGGCGGCAGCAGUGGGGGAUAUUGCACAAUGGGGGGAACCCUGAUGCAGCGACGCCGCGUGGGUGAAGAAGCGCCUCGGCGCGUAAAGCCCUGUCAGCAGGGAAGAAAAUGACGGUACCUGACGAAGAAGCCCCGGCUAACUACGUGCCAGCAGCCGCGGUAAUACGUAGGGGGCAAGCGUUAUCCGGAUUUACUGGGUGUAAAGGGGGCGCAGACGGCGAGGCAAGUCAGGAGGGAAAGCCCGGGGCCCAACCCCGGGACUGCUCUUGGAACUGCGUGGCUGGAGUGCAGGAGGGGCAGGCGGAAUUCCUGGUGUAGCGGUGAAAUGCGUAGAUAUCAGGAGGAACACCGGUGGCGAAGGCGGCCUGCUGGACUGCAACUGACGUUGAGGCCCGAAAGCGUGGGGAGCAAACAGGAUUAGAUACCCGGGUAGUC